GCCACCCCAACCUCGUCUCCUCCCUCUUAUCCGCACAUCCCACAGUGCCUCGUCGCCCCACGGCCACCCGCUCCCCGUCGGCGCCCGGCCACCCUGCGCCCCGCUGCCUCCUGGCCACCCCGCGCCUUACCGUCGCCCGGCCACCCCGCCCCCCUGCCGGCGCCCGACCUCCCUGCGCCCCGCCGCCUCCCGGCCACUCCGCGCCUCGUCGCCGCCCGACCACCCCGCGCCUCGCCGCCGCCCGGCCACCCCGCGCCCGUCGCCGCCCGGCCACCCGGCGCCUCGCCGCUUCCCCAUCACAAGGGCCUCAGCCCCGGCGCCCCCCCAGCCCCGGCGACCCCAGCCCUGGCGCGCCUCCGCCCCGGAGACUUCCAUCUCCGGCCUCCUCCCUCCGUCGCCGCCGCGCCUCAGGCCACUCCCUCUGCCACCGACCUAGAUCCCUCCGAGCACCGCGCGCCAUCUCCUGCGAUUCCCAUCACCGCCGGUUUCUAGCGCGGCUCACCGCCUCCCAGCGACGAUGAGGAAGAUGACAGGGGAGCUGCCCGUCUUCACGCAUGGCGCCCCUGGUCCUUGGAUCCCCCCUCCCCGCUCCCCUCCGGCGACCCUACUCGCUCGCCUGGCGCUCGCUCCGGUGACCAGCCGCGCGUCACACGAUAGAUCUCGAAGCUCCUUUACAUUCAGCGCCGCCGCCACACAACCUCAUCUCCGUUUUCUCUUCAUUACGACCUGUAGCCUGUAGGAGUUUCUUCAGCUGCGGUUCAACAAGAAAACCAGCGGCAGUCCAUGCACCCGUUCUAUCUCUUUCCUCUCUAAUGCUCUUUAUCUUACUAAUUUGUUUUCUAUUGGAACUGCAGCCCGAGGGAGGUUGGACGGACAACAUAUUGGUGAUGUUAACAUCAGUCUGUUUAUAUUGAACUGAUGAUCGUGUAUUACUACUGAAGUCAAGCAAUGAGUUCAAUGGAUUCCAAAAAGGAAAAAACUGUGGAUGGGUGAUGAAUCAACUUCCUGUACAGUUGUGCCAUGAGCAGUGGAUGACCCCGACCACCGGCACCACUGCUUCCCGACCUCCUGCUUGCAUCGCGGAGAGCCCUGGCCGUUCACAGCCACCACUCGAGGCCAUUCAACGCCACACCCCAGGCCGUUCAUUGCCAGCAGCACCCUGGAUCCCACCCCUCACCCUACGAGUUUCAGUUAUCGAGUGAGUUUCAGUCCAACUUGAGCUCCGUGAGAUGAUCAUAUAAUUAACUUCAGAAUUACUACAUGGCCCAUGUAUUUUACAGCAAGUCCAUGUAGUACUACAUGCGAAGUACAAAAAUUACUGCUAGUGAGAGUUCAUUUAAAUCCUGGUUAGUUCAUCUCCUCAAAACAUAUUUACUUCCGCUCUGCUCUGAUCUUUCUCCUGAAUUGUUGAUGCUGCAUCCUCUCUCUCAUGAUGUGAUGUUGUUGCUCUCUCGUAGCUAAAACAUUGUCCCAGAAACAUCCUAUAGCUGACCACAAUCUGUAAUUCUGAAACUACAUGUUGUCCUGGUCCUUGAGCAUCUUGAAGGCUGACAAAAAAAGUGCACUACCAUUAUGAUCUUACUUUGAAAAUUAUAACAUGGAUGAUGGAUGCAGUAGCAAACUAGAUGAGAGUAACGGAGGACACCAAGUGUACAACAACCGAAACUAAACCUCAUUUUAUUGUUACUUAAAUGCAUUUGUUAUCUGAACUUAAACGCAAACAUAUUCUUGCAUUGCGUGUAGGUAGCUGUCGAGGAUGUCACCCCACUCCUCUGGCUUCACCCCUUGUCAACAUACCAAGCUACUUCAUUUUUUGUAUCAAAUUUUAGAACUUCUACAUAUCUAUACUGUUGCUGCUCCGCACUCGUAUUUGCUAUUUCUUCUUAUGUGUGCACUAAACUUCUAAUACUGUUCGUGAUCAAGCUUCUAGUUUUUGCUCUAUUGUGUGCUUCACUUCUACAAAAAAAGGUUGGAUUAUAUAAAUAGGAUAAAGACAUUUGCUUGCUUUCCAGAAAUGAAAUGGUUGGACAUGUAUCGAUGAUGUAAAUAAAGCUCUUGUCUUGUAUUUUUUGAAAAUAAAAUCACACAAGUACAUGGUGAAAAUUGGUACCAGUUCGAAGAAAAAAGAAACAAAGUUCAAAAAGAAAAAUUAUGAGUUCACCUUCCAUAAAGUUUGUAAGUAUAGAGAUAUCUACUUGAUGUAGUAUGUAACUAUGUAUUGCAAAUACAUCAGUUCAACUUGAAUAAAAUACCGAAGUGCACCGUGAAGUUUUCCAUCAGUUCGUUUAUAAAAAAACAGAACGUAUUUGGAAAGUAUUUGAAUAAAAUAUUUUGUAUGUGUUAAAACCAAGUUUGGUUUUCUACUAUAUGUCAGAUUAUUACAAAAUACAAUAAAAGAUUAUGCUCAUGUGGCUGUAAGCUCUAACCAUAUGGCAAAAAAGAGAAAAAUGAGUAUGAAGUGUUGUUGUUUCUGUAUUGUUAAGUUCAGUAUGUAUUCCAUUUUCAGUACAUAAACAAACACAUAGGAUCUUUAUAAGAGCAAAAACUACAAAAUGGAAAUCUGUAAGUUCAACUACAUAUAUUACAACAAUUGAAAAUACAAAAAAUUACGUCAGUUCAAUGACAAAAAAACAUGAGUUCGAAAAGUUUUUGACUCUUGAACUGAUAGCUGAAAGAUACGAUAUGUGUACUGUUGAUAAUCUCAAACAUGUGUUGCUCAACUUUAGAAAACAUGUAAAAUUGUUGUGCUGCUUUGCAAUGUCUCCAGCAGUCCUACUUCUCCAUGAUGACAAGGACGACGUCGCCAUGCGUGCACGCUCCAACCUGUCCCCUGUCGCAGCCCCACCACUCGUUGCCGAUGCACUCUAACCCGAGGACCACCAUGAUGGAGGUCGCCUCACAGCCUAGCGACGAGUGUUUGUUGGUUUCUCUUUCAUUUACGGACAUCUUGGGCUUGCUGGGUGCAGAUCAAAAAGCCCAAUCAUCAUCAGGGAUGAAAAAAGGAGAGAAGCACGGGAAGAGGUACUAGUAGAAGAGGUAGAAGUAAUGUGAAAAUGAGAUAAAUGUGAGAAUAGCAAGUAUUAAAUCAUGAGAGGGAUUCAG